GAAGCUGCGAGCUGUGAUGCUCCAGCGGGGUUCAUGGAAAUGUCCCCUAACCUGUACAUGAGAAGCAGGAGAAAGGAGAAGUACACCUGGCAUCCAGAAGCUGCCCAGAUGCUCACAAGCACAGCCAUGAAGUUCUCUGUGGGACAGAAACCAUCUCAGAAAGACAACCUCGAACAAUGCGACCCUGAGACUAAAAGAGAUGAAGCACACCAGGUACGGUGGUGGCAGCCCGAAAUCCCGGCACUUGGGAAGUGAAAGCAGGAAGAUCAGGGGUUCAAAGUCCUCCGCAACUACACGGAAAGUUUGAGGUCAUCAAACUUCAAGAGACCUCAUCUCAGAGAUAGAUGAUAGACGGUCGGACAGACGGACAGACAGGCAAUUAACCAACAAAUAAAUAAGAUGAAGUUGGUCGCAUCA